CAGCGCUGGGUGCUGUGUAGCUGUGGUCUGCGCCACCGUCUCUGCUCGGGGCACCUCGGGCCACCAUGGCCACCCCACAGCCACCAGCGCCCACCUUAUGGCCUCCACCACCCUCUCACCCCCACCCUGCAGCCACCCUGCUCUCCACUGAUUUGGGCUAGUGCCAACAAUGUCAAGUAACAGGAUAGUCUGGAAACGCUCUUCCUUAGGUCACUAUCUUCUUGGAUUUGCUGUGACUUUUCUGCUCUUUUGAUGGCAGGGAGCCUGCCUUGAUCUCUGCAAUCAGGAAUGUGGCUGAGCAAAUGCAGCUUGUACCUGCUGGAUGGAUACACCUCCCAGAUGCUCUGUGCUAGAAGGUUCCUGGCAGUGCAGGGAAAGGUGGCUCUGCAGGUGGAGGCUCCACAUAAUGGGCUCAAAACAUCUGGUCCAGUGGUUAAAAGCUGUUCACAGGGGUGACUGGACCCCACUAAGCAUUCUUUCGUCUGUAGUGAAUAUUUCACCAAAAACAGCUCUAGGAAAGGCUGCAGGAUCAGUACUAUGUGCUCAAGCCAUGGCCACGCCCUCCAUCUUCCACCUGACCGAGAAGUGGGGGCUGAAGGCCACGGCCGCCCCAGGAGAAAGGACACUAGGAAGGCCACCGGGGGCCUGAGGAACAUGCGCGUGAAGCAGAUGGGAAAGGAGUUUCAGGUUUAUUGUGGUCCUUGAGGGAAAAGCUGAGGGCCCAGCCGUGGUCCCGCAAGUGGAAGUAACCCGCUCUGCAGGGUGAACACGCACCCAGUGCCGCCCAGGAAGCUGCCAGUCAGGAUUGGGCGCAGUCUCUGGAAGGAACUCCAGGAGACAGUGUGGCCUCCACAGCAUUAGGCAGCCAAGGAGAUGCAAACACGUCUGCUGUAGAUGCUGGUGAUGAGACCCCCUCUUCCCAGCCAGGGCCUGCUGGUUUCUUCUCAGAGCACACUCAAGAGAGGCCAUCUGUCCCUUGAGAGGCUGUUGACCAAAAGAGGCUGAAGAAGGAUGUGGAGCCCAGCUGCAGCGGGACCAGCCUGGGGCCUGAUGAGAGCUUGGCCCAGAACCCCCAAGUUCAUCAUUCACAAUGAUGCCUCAGAAACCCUCCCAGAGCCCCUCACCCUCCGACGGAUGUCA